rnacentral:rRNA from 1 species
CUCUGUAUUCCCAAGUGUGAUGGUGGCAUGGGCUUUAGAGAUCUCCGUUCUUUUAAUCUGGCACUCCUUGCAAAACAAUGUUGGAGAAUGAUAACUAACCCUGAAUCUGUUUGUGCUCGCAUAUUGAAGGCAAAGUACUUUCCAAAUACUGAUUUAUUACAUGCAGGCCCAAAGAAUGGUUCCUCGUUCACCUGGCAGAGUAUUGUUGCUGGAUUAACUACUUUUAAAAGAGGGUACAUAUGGCGUAUUGGAUCAGGGGAGAACCUGAAUAUUUGGACUUAUCCGUGGACCCCCUCCAGUCCGGAUAGAAAAAUUAUCACUCCUCGUGGACAUACAGUGAUCUCUAAAGUUGUUGAACUAAUUGACCCGAUCACAAACCAUUGGGAUGAACAGUUAAUUAGAGACAUUUUUUAUCCAGUUGACGCAACUAGAAUCCUUCAGAUACCACUUAACUUUCAGGCAUUUGAUGACUUUAUUGCGUGGAAUCUCAUGAAGAGCAGUAUUUUUUCAGUUAGAAGUGCAUAUCAUGAACAAUGGCUACACAAAUAUAGGAGUCAUUCUAAUGGAAAUUUGACGUCUACUAGUGCCAUGCAAGCAGUGAUUUGGAAGCAACUAUGGGAGAUGCAGGUGCCGAGGAUUCAGAUUUUUUGUUGGCGCGCUCUCCGUGGUAUUGUCCCGCUAAACUCUAUACUGGCAAAUAGACAUAUACCUAUCAAUGACAUAUGUCCGAUUUGCGACAAUGCUCCAGAGGAUAUGAGACAUAUGUUGUUUCAGUGUGAGAUGGCAAAAAAGCUAUGGGCGGGGUUAGGACUCCUCGAG